UACGUAGGGUGCGAGCGUUGUCCGGAAUUAUUGGGCGUAAAGGGCUUGUAGGCGGUUUGUCGCGUCGGGUGUGAAAUCCACUGGCUUAACUGGUGGCUUGCUUUCGAUACGGGCAGACUGGAGGUAUGCAGGGGAGAACGGAAUUCCUGGUGUAGCGGUGAAAUGCGCAGAUAUCAGGAGGAACACCGGUGGCGAAGGCGGUUCUCUGGGCAUGUCCUGACGCUGAGGAGCGAAAGUGUGGGGAGCGAACAGG
rnacentral:rRNA from 1 species